rnacentral:misc_RNA from 1 species
AGUGGGAGCGAGCCUGCUCGCGAAAGCGCAGGGUCUGACACAUUGAUGGUGAAUGUGCCGGCCUCUUCGCGAGCAGGCUCGCUCCCACA